rnacentral:lncRNA from 1 species
GAGAGCGCGCAGCAGCCCACAGCAGCCGAGUUCGCGCCGCCGGUAGGUGCUGCCAUGCCAGGGGGCGGGAUCGUGGAGCGCCUCGCAGAACCGCACGAAAGCAAAAACAAAGCCAUCUCUCCGGAGCAGAAAUAGAACAGACGUGGCCGGGGAAAGCCAAAUAUUUGUGGCUGGACUCAGACACAUCACGCUCCAGUUUGGGUUCCAAGGUGCUUCUCUCUGGAUUUUCACCUGCCUUGCCAAAAAUGAUUGAUUACGCUGGGCCAACUGGGUGUCCGGCAAUACCCAACAAAUGACUUUGGCCCCUAACAGCAGGUCUUGGCCAGACAGAAAUCAAUAUUUCACCAUUAAAAUCUAUCAAAGAAGAGUUAAGGCACCAUCUGUCCCUGCCGCCUCUCUAUGGUGUGUGAACAUUAAAUCCGACACUUGUACUACAUGGGUAAUCAAUAUAUAGUGGUUCACAGAUCAUUUGUGGUUCCCUUUUAGCAGUGAUGGAUGUCUGGAAUCGUUGUGAUUCAUUUUGUCAGACCAUUAAACAAGAUUCUGUCCA